AGUGAACGCUGGCGGUAGGCCUAACACAUGCAAGUCGAACGGCAGCACUGGAGAGCUUGCUCUCUGGGUGGCGAGUGGCGGACGGGUGAGGAAUACAUCGGAAUCUACUUUUUCGUGGGGGAUAACGUAGGGAAACUUACGCUAAUACCGCAUACGACCUACGGGUGAAAGCAGGGGACCUUCGGGCCUUGCGCGAUUGAAUGAGCCGAUGUCGGAUUAGCUAGUUGGCGGGGUAAAGGCCCACCAAGGCGACGAUCCGUAGCUGGUCUGAGAGGAUGAUCAGCCACACUGGAACUGAGACACGGUCCAGACUCCUACGGGAGGCAGCAGUGGGGAAUAUUGGACAAUGGGCGCAAGCCUGAUCCAGCCAUACCGCGUGGGCGAAGAAGGCCUUCGGGUUGUAAAGCCCUUUUGUUGGGAAAGAAAUCCAGCUGGCUAAUACCCGGUUGGGAUGACGGUACCCAAAGAAUAAGCACCGGCUGACUUCGUGCCAGCCGCCGCCGUAA
rnacentral:rRNA from 1 species